GUUUAUUGGUGAUUCCAGUUUUCUCCUCUGGGGGUUGUUGAUAGGCUUUUGUCAUUUUUCUGUUUUUCUUAAUUGUAUCUAGGAAUUCUUUACACAGAGAUGCCACAAAGUUUAACUUUGGCCUCAGUACUCAGGAAAAGAUAUACUUGGUUUCAGCCUUGGCUUCAGGCUUUGAAAGACAGAGUAACAAAUAGCUACUUCUUUUCUGGCCCCUUCAUCAUCUGCUUGUUCAAUGGAGGUUAGGCCAGAGUCUUUCAAGAAAAAAAGUCUUAUUAGAGAAGUCUUCAUAUCUCGUGAGGAUGAAUUAAAAGCAGAAUCUCAACUUUGCUACCUUUAAAUGUCACGGAGAGAAAAAACUGCAAAACCAUGUGCAACAAUAUCCAUGAUAAAUCAUCUUUGAUCUCAACAUAACGGAGACUAUAAGGAGUAUAAAGACUAGAAGAAAGAGUAGAAGGUGAUCCACAAUCAAUUCAGAACCUGGUCUUCUAUGGUGGCUCACAGUUCCUGCACCCUACAAUAUCGUGGUAAUGAUGAAAGCUAGCCAUCUUGUUUAUUACAUGUUUCUCAGUACUUAAAUAUGGAGUCAGAAUUCUUUCACCACCGUG
rnacentral:lncRNA from 10 species